AUCUUUGCGCUUGGGGCAAUGACGCAGCUAAUGAGGUACUAACCGAGGCGCGUCUAUUGCUGGUUGAAAACUAUUUCCAAACCCCCUCCUGGGCCUAAGCUUGUCUUGGGCCUUCGAGAAUUUCUGGAAGGGCUCCCUUUGGGGUAAAGCC
rnacentral:snRNA from 3 species